GGGUUGUGAGGUUAAGCGACUAAGCGUACACGGUGGAUGCCCUGGCAGUCAGAGGCGAUGAAGGACGUGCUAAUCUGCGAUAAGCGUCGGUAAGGUGAUAUGAACCGUUAUAACCGGCGAUUUCCGAAUGGGGAAACCCAGUGUGUUUCGACACACUAUCAUUAACUGAAUCCAUAGGUUAAUGAGGCGAACCGGGGGAACUGAAACAUCUAAGUACCCCGAGGAAAAGAAAUCAACCGAGAUUCCCCCAGUAGCGGCGAGCGAACGGGGAGCAGCCCAGAGUCUGAAUCAGUGUGUGUGUUAGUGGAAGCGUCUGGAAAGGCGCGCGAUACAGGGUGACAGCCCCGUACACAAAAAUGCACAUACUGUGAGCUCGAUGAGUAGGGCGGGACACGUGGUAUCCUGUCUGAAUAUGGGGGGACCAUCCUCCAAGGCUAAAUACUCCUGACUGACCGAUAGUGAACCAGUACCGUGAGGGAAAGGCGAAAAGAACCCCGGCGAGGGGAGUGAAAAAGAACCUGAAACCGUGUACGUACAAGCAGUGGGAGCACGCUUAGGCGUGUGACUGCGUACCUUUUGUAUAAUGGGUCAGCGACUUAUAUUCUGUAGCAAGGUUAACCGAAUAGGGGAGCCGAAGGGAAACCGAGUCUUAACUGGGCGUUAAGUUGCAGGGUAUAGACCCGAAACCCGGUGAUCUAGCCAUGGGCAGGUUGAAGGUUGGGUAACACUAACUGGAGGACCGAACCGACUAAUGUUGAAAAAUUAGCGGAUGACUUGUGGCUGGGGGUGAAAGGCCAAUCAAACCGGGAGAUAGCUGGUUCUCCCCGAAAGCUAUUUAGGUAGCGCCUCGUGAAUUCAUCUCCGGGGGUAGAGCACUGUUUCGGCAAGGGGGUCAUCCCGACUUACCAACCCGAUGCAAACUGCGAAUACCGGAGAAUGUUAUCACGGGAGACACACGGCGGGUGCUAACGUCCGUCGUGAAGAGGGAAACAACCCAGACCGCCAGCUAAGGUCCCAAAGUCAUGGUUAAGUGGGAAACGAUGUGGGAAGGCCCAGACAGCCAGGAUGUUGGCUUAGAAGCAGCCAUCAUUUAAAGAAAGCGUAAUAGCUCACUGGUCGAGUCGGCCUGCGCGGAAGAUGUAACGGGGCUAAACCAUGCACCGAAGCUGCGGCAGCGACGCUUAUGCGUUGUUGGGUAGGGGAGCGUUCUGUAAGCCUGUGAAGGUGUGCUGUGAGGCAUGCUGGAGGUAUCAGAAGUGCGAAUGCUGACAUAAGUAACGAUAAAGCGGGUGAAAAGCCCGCUCGCCGGAAGACCAAGGGUUCCUGUCCAACGUUAAUCGGGGCAGGGUGAGUCGACCCCUAAGGCGAGGCCGAAAGGCGUAGUCGAUGGGAAACAGGUUAAUAUUCCUGUACUUGGUGUUACUGCGAAGGGGGGACGGAGAAGGCUAUGUUGGCCGGGCGACGGUUGUCCCGGUUUAAGCGUGUAGGCUGGUUUUCCAGGCAAAUCCGGAAAAUCAAGGCUGAGGCGUGAUGACGAGGCACUACGGUGCUGAAGCAACAAAUGCCCUGCUUCCAGGAAAAGCCUCUAAGCAUCAGGUAACAUCAAAUCGUACCCCAAACCGACACAGGUGGUCAGGUAGAGAAUACCAAGGCGCUUGAGAGAACUCGGGUGAAGGAACUAGGCAAAAUGGUGCCGUAACUUCGGGAGAAGGCACGCUGAUAUGUAGGUGAAGUCCCUUGCGGAUGGAGCUGAAAUCAGUCGAAGAUACCAGCUGGCUGCAACUGUUUAUUAAAAACACAGCACUGUGCAAACACGAAAGUGGACGUAUACGGUGUGACGCCUGCCCGGUGCCGGAAGGUUAAUUGAUGGGGUCAGCGCAAGCGAAGCUCUUGAUCGAAGCCCCGGUAAACGGCGGCCGUAACUAUAACGGUCCUAAGGUAGCGAAAUUCCUUGUCGGGUAAGUUCCGACCUGCACGAAUGGCGUAAUGAUGGCCAGGCUGUCUCCACCCGAGACUCAGUGAAAUUGAACUCGCUGUGAAGAUGCAGUGUACCCGCGGCAAGACGGAAAGACCCCGUGAACCUUUACUAUAGCUUGACACUGAACAUUGAGCCUUGAUGUGUAGGAUAGGUGGGAGGCUUUGAAGUGUGGACGCCAGUCUGCAUGGAGCCGACCUUGAAAUACCACCCUUUAAUGUUUGAUGUUCUAACGUGGACCCGUGAUCCGGGUUGCGGACAGUGUCUGGUGGGUAGUUUGACUGGGGCGGUCUCCUCCUAAAGAGUAACGGAGGAGCACGAAGGUUGGCUAAUCCUGGUCGGACAUCAGGAGGUUAGUGCAAUGGCAUAAGCCAGCUUGACUGCGAGCGUGACGGCGCGAGCAGGUGCGAAAGCAGGUCAUAGUGAUCCGGUGGUUCUGAAUGGAAGGGCCAUCGCUCAACGGAUAAAAGGUACUCCGGGGAUAACAGGCUGAUACCGCCCAAGAGUUCAUAUCGACGGCGGUGUUUGGCACCUCGAUGUCGGCUCAUCACAUCCUGGGGCUGAAGUAGGUCCCAAGGGUAUGGCUGUUCGCCAUUUAAAGUGGUACGCGAGCUGGGUUUAGAACGUCGUGAGACAGUUCGGUCCCUAUCUGCCGUGGGCGCUGGAGAACUGAGGGGGGCUGCUCCUAGUACGAGAGGACCGGAGUGGACGCAUCACUGGUGUUCGGGUUGUCAUGCCAAUGGCACUGCCCGGUAGCUAAAUGCGGAAGAGAUAAGUGCUGAAAGCAUCUAAGCACGAAACUUGCCCCGAGAUGAGUUCUCCCUGACUCCUUGAGAGUCCUGAAGGAACGUUGAAGACGACGACGUUGAUAGGCCGGGUGUGUAAGCGCAGCGAUGCGUUGAGCUAACCGGUACUAAUGAACCGUGAGGCUUAACCUUACAACGCCGAAG
rnacentral:rRNA from 1 species